CCAAUCAAUCUCUCUCUCUCUCUCGCACAUCUCUCUCUCUCGCGCGCGCGAGCCGCCGCCCCCAUCCUCCGCGUCCGCCACCGCCGCUCGUCGCUCCUCCUCCACCCAACCCCUAACCCUAGCAGCUCCGCCGCCGCCGUCUACUUCACCCAGCCCGCCGGACCGCCGCUGCCGUCUACUUCGCCCAGCCCGCCGGACCGCCGACUGGAUCCAGACUUCCACGGGGACGAUGUGUCAGGGGUCCCGCCGCUGCCGCCGCGCCUGCUCGGUGCUGUGCCACCCGUUUUCGCUGCCGUCGACGAGCUUCUCGGGCUCUUCAAGCAUUCCUGCAAGGAGCUCGUCGACCUGCAUCGUCAGGUCGGUUGCCGCUGUUGCUGGUGGUAGCAGCCUGCGUGAUUGGGUGUGUGGAUGUUUGUUUGGUGAUCGCAUAUGGUGAUGCUGGUGUUUUCUUUUCUUCCUAAUGUGGAUAAAUUGAUACGGGCCUCCAAAAUCUGAAGAAAGAACUGGCUACGCAGGAUGCCAGGCAUCGCAAGACACCCAGGGAGGUUAGUUAGUAUUCUUGCAAGUUUUCUAAUACGGUUAUACCCAGGCAAAGUUUAGUAGGCCAUUCUGUAGACAACCUAAUGAAUAAUUGCUGAAAAGGGCAGCCCGUGAUGCAAGAAUCCAAAGAGACAUAACUACAGCAGAAAAAACUGCAAGGCCUGCAUUCUACGUGAUGUGAGACGAGAGCUAGCAACAGAUGUCAGAAACUGAAUCUGAUUAGUUGCAUUUUGCUUGAAACCCAAUCUUUUGCACAUAUGCUUGUUACAAUUUUAUAAACCUGUUACUCUUUACUGCACUAAGACGUGAUGGCUAGAUCGUCGCCAACUCCUACCCUGACCCCAAGGUCGCUGUCAGCGUCAAUCCCAAUACCCAGGUCGCCGCCACCCCCAACCUCGACGUCCAGGUUGUAGGCAGAAGGUACAUUCGGUCGCUGGUACAUUUGUUGUAUGAAGGUCCAAGGUUUUGAAAUCUAAGAGUAAACCACCCGCUACUGAAAUACGUGCAAGGGUUUGUUUUGUUUUGUUCUUAUGAAAAAUGGGCAUAAAGUUCAGAGAACAUAUGCAAUGGUUAAGCUUUUUCUUCUUGGACAAAAAAAAUGCAUCAGUAAACUAUAUAUGCUCAAAUUAUGCACCAGAUAUUCCCAGUCACAAAUCUUGGUUAUGUGAGCACUCCUUGCCCUAUUAUUUAAAUGAAAUCAUCCUGAUCUCAUUAAGCCAUCUUACCACGAGGCAAAAAUAUUUUUAAUUUGUAGGGUUAGGGACCCAAGAUCCUAAGCAGUAGUUUUUUUUCCUGUCUCUUACAAAAUUAUGAAAACAAAGUUGGUUACAGCAGCAAAAGAUCCAUGCUUUGUAUUUUACAGUGGUAAGACCUACAGUCAAUAAAUUCAAGUGCCACAUGUGGCUCAUCUGCUGCUACGAUUAGACUACAUGUGUAUGCUAGAGGGAAGUUCAGAAGGUGUAUCCGUCCCACAAGGAUAUGCUGCUAUAAUUGGACUCUGACGAUCUAUGAAUAUGUUGCAUCCAAAUCUGCAUUUAUCUCUCUGCAAUAUGCUCAUUUGCUAUAUAGUUUUGAAGUUUACAUAUCAUGUAUAUUUAUUACCAUAUCCUGCUCGAACGUUUGGGCGUUCUUCGAAGGAAUAUCUUUUUUUUCUAUUGCAGCUUUCUCCUGGAAACCGUUGUUAUGAACCAAUCAACUCUUUGAGAAUUAAAGUUUCGCUCGUCCUAGGACGGCCCGGAUGGCCCAAGGUGAGCAGCCUUUGAUACGCCAUGCAAGACGCCUAGGUGCUGCCUUCCAGAUAAAUCCGGCUGCCACCGACCGGCGUGAGCUCGCUUCAGCCUCCUCCUUCGAUCUUGCAGCUACUGCCUCAUCGCCAACCCACAACAAGGAUUUGGAAAUUGCAGCUUCAAUUCUUGCGAGCGCGGAGUUGGAGAAGGUGGGGCUGCAGAGCAGAGCCAGUUGCAGCAUCCAUGGCCUUGUUGUGCUUUCCAUCGACCAUGCGCCAACGCCAAGUCCAUGAUUGGCGACCUCGCUGAGCAUGAGGACAAUGAUGGGUCCUCCUCGGCCAUGGCCAAUCGUGCGAGAUUCACCAGGUUGCGGGGCUUGGUCAGCAGUGUGUGUGGCCAGUGGUUGUAGUUUACUGAAGCGGAGAGGCAGUGCCGUCGUUGACCAUGGAUUCAGCAGAUCCUGGGAGUUCUGUCAGGAUAGGGAGGCAAAAGGAAAAUGUACAUGCUCCUUAUUACUUAUCAGAAACAUUUCCUACCAGUUCUUUUUUAUUGUGUCUCAUCUGAAAUGGGUAGUUCUGAGUUUCAUAUCCUAAUGGGUAGCAAAACUGUACGUCUUUUAGAUCUUGGUUCUAAAUUUCCAUUUUCGAGAAAUGCCAUCUUUUCAUUUAUAUUUACUGUUUUAAGAAAUGUUCUGAAGUGACAAGAUUAUUUUUUGUAUGCAAUUUCCAAUAGUAGGUAUUUUGUCAAUCUAUUUGUAGAUGCUGCAUUUGUCUUACUACCCUUUUCACUAAUUUGCUACGUUUCCUAAAUGCUUUUGCUAAAUGUCUUUAUCCUUCUGGGAUAUACUUAUGGAAAAUAGAAAUCAUUUAAACUAGACAUUCUAAAUUUCAAAUUUGAUAAUCCAUAUAUUUGCAUAGGUAUUCCCAGGAGGUGGGAAUCCCAUAGCUCUCUUAACUUUUAUUUGUUUGUAAUAAUGAACGCUUAUCCUAUUUGGGUAAUGUUUGUAUUCAUAUCUAUCACAAAAAGAUUGAUGUCAAGUCUAUGUUGUUGUUUGGUUUCCCUUAGGAACUCUAUGCAUUAGACUACAAUACAUAAUAGAGCGAGGGAAUCAUCUUACCAUAGGGAGGCAGGGGAGCAUUGAAAAAUGCACUGUAUUGGAUUCCGCAAAUCCAGUGAGUAUGAAUGCACCUUUUACUAAUUAGUUUGUGACAAGGAGGGGAGAUCCAUGUGCAUGCAAGUUUGCUUGGUUUUUGCCGAUUCACUCGAUUAUUAAUUUUGGGACUGUGACGAUUAGCAGGGGCUGUGGGGUCACUGGCAGACGAUGUGCUUGGUUCCGCAGGUCAUAUUGUCAAAGUGCCAGUUAAUUACCUGCCUUCAGGCUCUUCUCCUAUCAAGGGUGACGUCACCUGGGAUUGCUAUGGUCUUACUGAAGAAGCUGACAACCUUGGCUAUUUGUCUAUGAUGUCGACUGAUGCCAUCAAGACCAUCGGUAAUGACACGUGUGAUGAUGAGUCUGACUACGCCGAAUAUGAUGAGUUUCCUGGCUUACUAUUCAUCUGACCAUGAGGACAACAAUAGUGGUUACUGGUUACUACUCAUCUGAGCUUAAGUGGUGAAUGCGGCCGAUGUUUCGACCACAUAAGAAAAUGAAGUUCGACCGCAUAAGAAAAUGAAGUUAUUUUGGUUUAUCGAGUAAUAUUAUGUGUGGUAGCAGACUACCACACCAUUGUAAAUUAUGUGUGAUUGUCACUAUGAGACAGUCCUACAGUGUGGUAGUUCUACAGAGAAUUUCUAAAUCAGUAUGGUAGCAGACUACCCUACCCUUAUUGUAAAUUAUGUGUGAUCAUCAAUAUGAGAGAUUAACUACUAAAUGGUUAUGUCAAAUUAUGAACGAAUUAUGUCUUA